rnacentral:rRNA from 1 species
GAUGAACGCUGGCGGCGUGCCUAAUACAUGCCAGUCGAGCGAACGGACGAGAAGCUUGCUUCUCUGAUGUUAGCGGCGGACGGGUGAGAAACACGUGGAUAACCUACCUAUAAGACUGGGAUAACUUCGGGAAACCGGAGCUAAUACCGGAUAAUAUUUUGAACCGCAUGGUUCAAAAGUAAAAGACGGUCUUGCUGUCACUUAUAGAUGGAUCCGCGCUGCAUUAGCUAGUUGGUAAGGUAACGGCUUACCAAGGCAACGAUGCAUAGCCGACCUGAGAGGGUGAUCGGCCACACUGGAACUGAGACACGGUCCAGACUCCUACGGGAGGCAGCAGUAGGGAAUCUUCCGCAAUGGGCGAAAGCCUGACGGAGCAACGCCGCGUGAGUGAUGAAGGUCUUCGGAUCGUAAAACUCUGUUAUUAGGGAAGAACAUAUGUGUAAGUAACUGUGCACAUCUUGACGGUACCUAAUCAGAAAGCCACGGCUAACUACGUG